rnacentral:pre_miRNA from 1 species
AGUGAGAUAGCUGGGUCAAAUGGUUAUUCCAUUCCCAGUUUUCUGAGGAAUCUCCAUACUGCUUUCCAGAUUGGUUGCACCAAUUUGCAGUCCCACCAGCAAU